rnacentral:rRNA from 1 species
UACGAAGGGGGCUAGCGUUGUUCGGAAUCACUGGGCGUAAAGCGCACGUAGGCGGAUUGUUAAGUCAGGGGUGAAAUCCUGGAGCUCAACUCCAGAGCUGCCUUUGAUACUGGCGAUCUUGAGUCCGGGAGAGGUGAGUGGAACUGCGAGUGUAGAGGUGAAAUUCGUAGAUAUUCGCAAGAACACCAGUGGCGAAGGCGGCUCACUGGCCCGGUACUGACGCUGAGGUGCGAAAGCGUGGGGAGCAAACAGG